rnacentral:sRNA from 1 species
GAGAGUUCAUGUAGCCCGUCAGGCUGUUUUUCAUGUCCGAACUGCGCUGAUGGGACUCAGCCUUCUUUUCCCGAGUACGACUAUAAGUGAAACCAUGCAACCAACACAAACUCACAGGCUUGUAAAUUAUGUUCAUCCCAAAGAAAUCAAGCUAUUAAGAAUAUAAAUAAUGACCUUCCUUCCAACUAAAUGUUUCACCUUUAGUCAUAUAACAUAACUAUAACAAAACUAUAACCAAACUUUGUCUCCAAAAGAACUUUAACAAAUGUAUGUAGAGGUCACAAAUUGCAAAUAAAAACAUCAUUUGAAAGAAUA